rnacentral:misc_RNA from 1 species
AAAAAAAAAAAAAAAAAGAAGCAAUUUUAAGUCUAUUUCUAUAGGGUUAAAUAAAAUAAAAAAUUCGAUUGAUAAUUUGAUAUAAUUGCUAUGCUUAGUGUGUGACUCGUUGGUUUUUUAGAGUCAGGAUUAAAAAAAGGACUGACCCAUACUAUGAACUAAUAAGUAUAAGUAUACAACUAAUAACCAACUCAUCGCUUUACAUUAUCUGGAUCCAAAGAAACAAUCAAGAUAUGAUAUAUUGGUCAUAUCAUUGUAACAAUUGAAAUCCUUUUUACACAAACAAAAGAAAAACCAAUCUGAUUAUGAGUUGUAAAUCAAAAUAAAAAAUUAUGCAGAUAAGUGGAAGGGUGAAAGAAAGAAAAAGAAUAUCAAAGAAUAUCAAUGAUAUAUGAUUCCAAUAUGUAAGGUCUAUGAGUCAUCAUAUAAAAGCUAAUGUAGUAAAGCAUCAAUACCAAUUGAUCUAUAAUUAAACUAAUCCGUUCAUAAAACAAAAAAUCAAGAGCCUCGAGCCAAUAAAGACUGAGAAGAUUGACUCAAGAACAAAAAGGCUCCAUUGUAAAAUUAAGACCUAACCAUUAAUGGAGAAGCGAUGGGAACGACGGAACCUGUAAAUACAUAAGAUUUUUUUGAAAACAAGUCUUAAUGAUUUAUUGGGAGGAUAGCGAAAAGAACCAUAAGACAAUCCAUUUAUUCUGAAAGAUCAUGGGUUAUCUCUACAAAUGAAAUAAAUAUUGAAAGAGUAAAUAUUCGCCCGCGAAGUUUUUUUUUUUUUUUUGGAUUUUUCCUAUCACGAGAAGGGUCUUCCGACUAACGUACAAGGAUCCAAUGUCUAUUUUAGUGCAGUCUCUUUCAAAUAAAUAAAGGAAAAUGAAUUUUGUUAGUGUAUGCAUAAAGUUUGAUCAAACCCUGCACUUGCAUUCCAUCUCCAGAAAUUAAUUUAUACCUGUUGGACCAGUGUAGUAAGCAA